CUCGCGCCAAGUUUACGCGCAACGAAAUAGUGCCAUAUGAAGUGGUUGUUUUUGUUCCUGUUCAUUUUAAAAUAUGUAUAAAAAACAUGUAAUCGCUAUAUAAUCGCUACUUUUGUAAUACACUUCGUUUUUUACGUUCUUUAACUUUCGUAAAAUAUGUUCUUUUGCUUGGUAUUGUAAACGUGUUACGAGGUUAUGUAUUGGACAAAUAUGUGUGACAAUUAGUAUAUCCAUAGCACAUUUGCUGUAUCCUUUGUUAAUAAAGAAGAAGAAUAAUAAAGAAAAGAAAUAUUGGUCAAAGAAAUCUGGUAAACUAGUAAUAACUAGAAAAUCUGCAAGACAUGAAAUAAUAGUGCCUAAGCAGUGUGUAUCUGUUUACAAGACAUACCUACAAAUAGAAAAAGCUAUCUUUGUCCAUAGCAGUUUUUUGCUGUAUCCUUUGUUAUAAUUAAUAAUGAAAAAGAAUAAGAAGAAAAGAAAAAAUCUGGAAAAGUAGUAACUAGAAAACCUGCAAGACUUGAAAUAAUAAUGGUUUUGUAAUUAUUAAGGAAAAUGUGAACUAUUAAAUGGCCAGCAUGCUUAAAACUACAAAAACCUUUAGGGAAAAAAGGAACGAGAGGCGGAAAUAAAAGAAGAUAACGUGGAUCCAAUCCAAAAUCGCAGCCGCAGCCGCGGCCGUGGUUCUCGUGGCAGCAGUCUUCAAAAUGUUUUUAAUUUCUGUUAAUUGUGUUAUAUCUUUUAUUAUCAUCUCACUCGUCACUCUUCUCUUUACUUAGUUUUUUUGUCCGGCAAAAAAACAUUUAUAUAUAAACGUUUACUUUGUAAAGUAUCAAGCCAUACU